UAGGCACUGGACCGUAAUUCAACACUCCGGGAUCGGCUUUGUUUAGAAAGAUCUUGACAGAACCGCUUCCCAGAAGUUAUCAGAAUGAUUGUGUCGACAAUUUUUCUCAGUUUAUUACUGACUUUCUUAUCAUGUGUCCAGUCGGAGGUUGUUUUGACCCAGCCAGAGGCAGAGACUGGCCAUCCCGGAAGCAGCCUGACACUGACCUGUAAAACCAGCGGGUUCGAUCUCAGCAGCAGCUACAUGAGCUGGGUCCGCCAGGUUCCCGGCCAGGGUCUGGAGUGGCUGGUUAGCUACUAUAGUUCAUCCAGCAAUAACUAUGCACCAGCGAUUCAGGGUCGAUUUACUGCGUCCAAAGACAAUUCAAACAACAUUUUCUCGUUGAAAAUGACUAACCUGAAGAUCGAAGACACCGCCAUCUAUUACUGUGCAAGAGACCACAGCGAGAGGAACCAGGGCUACUGGGGCCAAGGGACCAUGGUGACAGUGACUUCAGAGGCACCAUCUUCCCCCACGCUUUAUGGCCUGGUCUCCUCCUGUGAGGAGCACAGCACCGGUUCGACAAUCUUUGGUUGUUUGGUGAUGGACUAUUCCCCAGACGUCACCAAGGUAACCUGGAAGAAAGGUGGGGUGCUAAUCACGAAUGGUGGAUUGAGACUUACCCAUCAGUGA